ensembl:lncRNA
GUGAGUGAAUUAAUUAUUAAGCAGCUUAGCACAAUCGAUGCAAUAUUGUUGCUGUGUUUCCUUGUAGAUAUUUUUGGAGUUUGCUUCAAUAUUUAAUCAAUCCCAAACCUUAGGUCAUUAGGAAAUGUAGACUCCAGGCUUCCUCCGGGUACAGCUUGUGUAUGCGGUCAGCCCACAGAAGGACGAGAACCGGGGGUGCGGAUCUCUGGUUUUAAAGAGCCUCCCCCCCGCCCCCGACCUCUGCACAUCCACUGUUUAAAGGAAAGGUCAGGAGACACGUCUCACAGGCUGUUCUCUUGUCUGCCUUUUUCAAUAAAUAAUUUUAAAAAAUUUAAGGAUAGUUGAUUUACAAUGUUGUUAGUUUCAGGUGUACAACAAAAUGAAUCAGUUAUAUAAACAUGCUUUUGCAGGCUCUUCUCCCAUUUAGGUUGUUACAGAGUAUUGGGUGGAGUUCCCGGUGUGGUUCGGUAACCAAAUGUUACCAUAAGUUACUCCAUGUCCAUGAGUCCAUUUCUAUUUUGUAUCUAAGUUCAUUAGAAUCCUUUUUUUUUUUUUUUAGAUUCCACAUAUAAGUGAUAUUAUAUGAUACUUGUCUGCCUUUUUAAAAACACAGGCGGUGGAGAAGGAAAUGGCAACCCACUCCCGUAUUCUUGCCUAGAGAAUCCUGUGGACAGAGGAGCCUGGUGGGCUGCCGUCUCUGGGGUCGCACAGAGUCGGACACGACUGACGCGGCUUAGCUGUAGCAGCUGCAGCGCCACAAAGUGAAAAUAUAGGUCACUAACUACAAACCACCAAAGGGUCCCUUCCCACUUAAACCAAGGUCGUGCACUUUAUGCCUGAACUUUUGUUUAUUUUUUGUCUUCAUUCAUAUCUUGGUAGUUUUCCCUGCUUUCCAAUAAAGUUUUUCUAUGAGGGCUAAAAAAAAAAAAAAAAACCCACAGGCGGGGUUGCGUCAUUUGCCAAUCCUUGAAUCGCCGUGAUGCCAGGGAGUCGGCUGUGGUGGGGUCCUUGCUGAGGACCGCGAGAAGCGGGGUGGCCAUCCCCAGGCGCCGUGGCCCGGGCUUCUCCUUAUCAGUGAGUGAGCAGCGGGGCCACAGAGGGAGGCCUCUGUGUUCCUGGUGUUUGCUGUCGUGGAUGUGGAGGUGGCGUCCUGCCCCGACGUGUGACCGGACUCGGCUGCAUUUUCUACUCGACCCAGUAACUUUUCAGUGAGCGAGUUGCUUCACUGGGUGCCAGGAGGCCCUGGGAGCCGCUGACUAACUGCUGAGUCUACUCUGUGGAAUCCGGGGAGGCCCAGGGCACUACAGCCGUUUUCUACAAAUGGGCAGCAGAGCUUUGGACAGUGACCGGCGCACCCUGCAGAGAAAACCAUCCCUGCUGUGGAAUCAAUAAUCUCUGCAGACCAGACUCUUGCUUGUUGAUUAGAUGGGAAGUAUCCGCCUGCAGUGCAGGAGACACAGCUUUUGUUUUUCAGAUCAGAAAGUGGGCAAGGAAGAGUUAAACCACCAGCCCUUGUCAGAGGCAGAGGCGCCAGACAACCUGCCUCUGGUCUGCAGGCUCUUCCUGCGCUUUAAGAUGAGCUGAAUUCUGCUGCUGCCAAGGUAACGCAGGAUAUGUAUUUAUAGAAAUGAGUGAGCCGUCCAGUCAUUUCGUGUGCUUCAAAUCAAGCCCGGAGCACAAAACCCCAGCCCAGGAGAAAGAAUCUAUUCGAACUGCCUGGGAGACCCCAGCGGCCACGACCGCUCCUGGAAGGUUUGUAGCCGAAGGUUCUGUGGCCCACAGAGGCCCCCCCGCUUGUUUGUUCCGCAGAAGGGGGCCAAGCUCUCUGAUCAUCCAGAAACUAACUUCUUUUUUUCAAACGCUUGAUCAGAUUUCUCCUUUGCAGCGUUCCUCGGAUUCCUCAGGACUGAAGGGCUGAAGACCCAGGAGCUGCUCCAAAAGGUUAUCAGCGCUCAGGAGUGUCUUAAGGAUGGAUUGAAACGGACUGCCCUUGGGUCCUGCCACCCGGAUGUGAACCCUGGGUCCACCCCCGGCUGAGACCUCGGCAGAGGGACUCAUGGCUUUGGGGGGCAACAGGGGGAAUGGGACGGGGCUUGUGGAGAUCGGCGAGGGGCUAUUCCGUGCUGGACACAGACAGCAGGUCGCGGGGCCCAUCACAACCCUGGCAACGGUGGGCCAGGUGGUUGUGCUGGCCUGGUGGGCACCAUGACCCAGCAGUCCCUGCGGAGGGGCCCUGGGGGUCCUGAGUAGACAGAGGCGGCCUGGGUCCCAGUAGCAUCACGGGCUCUGGGGCACUGGGGCCAGCCUGGGCCUGGAGCAGAUUUAGCCUGGGUUUAUCAGC